rnacentral:rRNA from 1 species
CCUACGGGAGGCAGCAGUGGGGAAUAUUGGGCAAUGGGCGCAAGCCUGACCCAGCAACGCCGCGUGAAGGAAGAAGGCUUUCGGGUUGUAAACUGCUUUUGUCAGGGACGAAGAAGGUGACGGUACCUGACGAAUAAACCACGGGUAACUACGUGCCAGCAGCCGCGGUAAUACGUGGGUGGCAAGCGUUAUCCGGAUUGGAUGGGUGUAAAGGGCGUGUAGGCGGGACUGUAAGUCAGAUGUGAAAACCACGGGCUCAACCUGUGGCCUGCAUUUGAAACUGUAGUUCUUGAGUACUGGAGAGGUAGACGGAAUUCCUAGUGUAGCGGUGAAAUGCGUAGAUAUUAGGAGGAACACCAGUGGCGAAGGCGGUCUGCUGGACAGCAACUGACGCUGAGGCGCGAAAGCGUGGGGAGCAAACAGGAUUAGAUACCCUAGUAGUC